UUUCCGUAGGUGAACCUGCGGAAGGAUCAUUAAAGUUAUAGUCCCCCGGCCCCUCCGGGCUGGGGUCUUCUAUACCACCCUUUGUUUAUUACACCUUUGUUGCUUUGGCAGGCCUGCCCUCGGGCUGCUGGCUCCGGCCGGCUCGUGCCCGCCAGAGGACCCAAACUCUGUUUGUAUAUGAAGUCUGAGUACUAUAUAAUAGUUAAAACUUUCAACAACGGAUCUCUUGGUUCUG
rnacentral:misc_RNA from 1 species